rnacentral:rRNA from 1 species
AAUCUAUCGUGCCCACACCGCGAAAAUGCUUAUGCCCUUCUGGAGUAAGCAAGCUUGACUGCUUGCCCUUCAGUUGCGCAGAUCAGGGGCUGGCUCCUUUUGGUGUCAGUUGACUUGAUUGGGCGGGUCCAAUAUCAGCCGGAUUCCCCUUGAGAGACUUUGUGGAGGCUGACGGUCUCACCCAAUGGCUUGGGGUUCUGCCGGCUGUGAGGGGUGGCGGUUAACUCACUUUAAGCAAUCAAUUCUGAAGACAGCUCUAUUGGCUAGCAUUGCUGGCUGUAGACUGAACAAAUACAGAC